rnacentral:rRNA from 1 species
UGAGUAACACGUGGGCAAUCUGCCCUUCACUCUGGGACAAGCCCUGGAAACGGGGUCUAAUACCGGAUACCACUACCGCAGGCAUCUGUGGUGGUUGAAAGCUCCGGCGGUGAAGGAUGAGCCCGCGGCCUAUCAGCUUGUUGGUGAGGUAAUGGCUCACCAAGGCGACGACGGGUAGCCGGCCUGAGAGGGCGACCGGCCACACUGGGACUGAGACACGGCCCAGACUCCUACGGGAGGCAGCAGUGGGGAAUAUUGCACAAUGGGCGAAAGCCUGAUGCAGCGACGCCGCGUGAGGGAUGACGGCCUUCGGGUUGUAAACCUCUUUCAGCAGGGAAGAAGCGAAAGUGACGGUACCUGCAGAAGAAGCGCCGGCUAACUACGUGCCAGCAGCCGCGGUAAUACGUAGGGCGCAAGCGUUGUCCGGAAUUAUUGGGCGUAAAGAGCUCGUAGGCGGCUUGUCACGUCGGGUGUGAAAGCCCGGGGCUUAACCCCGGGUCUGCAUUCGAUACGGGCUAGCUAGAGUGUGGUAGGGGAGAUCGGAAUUCCUGGUGUAGCGGUGAAAUGCGCAGAUAUCAGGAGGAACACCGGUGGCGAAGGCGGAUCUCUGGGCCAUUACUGACGCUGAGGAGCGAAAGCGUGGGGAGCGAACAGGAUUAGAUACCCUGGUAGUCCACGCCGUAAACGGUGGGAACUAGGU